AACUGGUUUUGCCCUACCUUAGGCUCAUCAGGAGAACGGCAUCAGUUCCCAACCAAUG
rnacentral:hammerhead_ribozyme from 1 species